UACGAAGGGGGCUAGCGUUGCUCGGAUUUACUGGGCGUAAAGGGCGCGUAGGCGGACAUUUAAGUCAGGGGUGAAAUCCCGGGGCUCAACCUCGGAACUGCCUUUGAUACUGGGUGUCUUGAGUAUGAGAGAGGUAUGUGGAACUCCGAGUGUAGAGGUGAAAUUCGUAGAUAUUCGGAAGAACACCAGUGGCGAAGGCGACAUACUGGCUCAUUACUGACGCUGAGGCGCGAAAGCGUGGGGAGCAAACAGG
rnacentral:rRNA from 2 species